AAAAGUUUAAAACCUAGAUAGUGUCUAGUCAGUUUACAUGUCAUGCAAGAGUGAUGUCAUGUGUUUUAAAAAAUUACCGUUUUUACUGAAAUUAUAGAUCAAACUUGCCCAUUAACCAGUCAAAGUAAAUCGAUCACACAGAAAUGUUCGGAGGAUCGUAAAUUGUCGUGAGAGCGUCUUCAUUCCUCGCAACGAACAGCGACACUUGUUUGUGUGUGGACGGUCUGCCAGUAAAAUUAACACGGUUGUUAAUCAUUUACAAAACACAUUAAUUAUUCAAUUAGGGCACAUGUUUUAUAUUGAUCGUAAACCAUCUAGGCAUCUAUCAAGAAGACUGCAAUCUGUUUCGUGAUUCAUUAACACCAGCUUGACCAGGCGGAUCGGAGAUACACUGGAUAUUGAUUAGCAAAGAAACAUCAAAAUGUAAUGGCAGGAUGGGAAAUGGGGACGAAAUACACACAAGAAAACAUAAUCGUGAUAUGUGCAAUUGUUGGUGUGUGCCUUUUGAUCAUUGCCAUCGUGACUCUCAUCAGCAUCUUUACGUCUAGAUGGCGCUACACGAUGUCACGUGAGCACGAUUUGGAGACUUCAAGAUAUGACAAUGCCUACAUCUCCAGCUAUGAAGGAGACAGUUCUAUGUGGACCACAGAAGGAACGUUCAGAACAUUGGAAGAACUCUGACUUUAAUAUACAAUCAGCUGAAACAUACAUUCUCUCACAACAAUAUUAUUUCCAAGAUUUUGUACACCUGAAGUUUGCUUUGUAAAAUACUCGUUAUAAACACGAUAAUGUAACUGUGAUAUGGUGUGUGUGGUGUGGCCUAUGUGCCUUUUAUUCUAGUUGUCGUUGCAAUCCACAGCAUCACUUGUAAGUUUCAGAUGAUUCCAGAUAAGCUAAAAACCUAACAAAUACAUUGCUCAAUAAUUCAUCCCUAUCUCAACGACAAACUAAUCAGAAUUACUUUACAAUGAGCACACUCACUACUAUCUGCAUCAGAUUAUUAUUUACAAACAAUUUUAUUCAGGUGCUGACAAAUGUUAGAAUGGAAAUGUUUUUACACUGACCCAGUUAGUUUUUUUUAAUACUGUGUUAGUAUAAUAUGGUGUCUUUUGUUGGAAGAGGACAUUUCAUGACUGAAUCAAUUGUCCUGUAGCACCAUCUCUUUCUACCAUCCGUAAUUUAACAAGACAAUACAUGCAUAUUGCAUUACAUAUGGAGCGUCUGUUCUGCUGAGUCUGCAUAUCUGAUGUUUGUGAUGAGUAUGUCAACUGCAUUUAUCUGAACACAUUAAAUAACUCAAUCCUA